rnacentral:lncRNA from 1 species
CAGCAAUGACGUAGAGAGCAUAGCAACCACCCUGGGAGGGCCUAUGAGCCAUAACAACCAGUUGACCAAUCAACACAGGGCAAGCCCUCCAAGCCUGGAGGCACACCAAUCAUGAGCCUGUGCGUAAGCCUGUGCGUACCCCUAGACACUCCCCUUACGCUGCCCUAUAAGAUCUUUGGGGAGACCUUAGGAGCCGUCUUUUUCUAGCCGUCUGCCAUGGCGGGUGGGUGAAAGACCCGAGCUAACAUGGGGUUAGUUCGUUAAAUUACAAUAAAGCCUCGUGCAGUUUGCAGCAAGCUCUCGAAUCCGCCUGGUGAUUGGGUGACCGCGAACCUGGCCUGAGACCCCGGAUACUUGAGUUUUCGGGGGUCUAACAUUUUGGGGGCUCGUCCGCGAUUUGCGACCACCCUUCACCUGAGUGGAUUCGAUCUUGGAGGGGUCUUUUCUUGUUGCCCUAAGCACAUGGCACGGGAAAGGAGUUCUGCCAUGUGUCACGGGUUAGAAUGUGUUAUGUUGGAGUCCCCCGAUGCUGCUUUUCUGAACUCGAACCACUGCUGCAGCCCUUACAGCUGAGCCUGGCCCAUGUAGGUGAGUCUUUCCCUAUCCCCACUUGCCGGUCCCGUGGGUCCCUGCCAUUUGCCUAGCUGCCCGGCAUUCUUUGUGCUCUACACACAUGGUAUGCAGGGGGGCCGCAGGAGUCUUUUUCCCACACCUGGAUUGGCCUAGGGUCUGGGGUUACCAGCAGCACCCCUACCCCAGGUCUCUCUGCCUUGAGCACAUGGAGCUCGAGCGUAUGAACUUAUCUGGCCUGAUCCGGACAUCUAAAUGGCCUUAAAGUUAUUAAGAACUAUAAAAGGGACUUUGACAAAAUUUUUAUGUUAACUAAAAAAAAAAAUGUUAAAGAGAGUUAAAGCAAAUGGUAAAAGUUAUAGAGGGUUAAAAUAAGUUGUAGAAGGUCAGAGAAAAGUUGUCGAAGGUCAGAGAAAAGGUUGUUACAAAUUAAAAAAAAUGUAAACUGUGCUAUGGUUUCUCAUGUCUACAAAUAAAUUUUAAAAAUGGUAAUAUAAGUUAAAAUUUUAACCAUAUUAAGCUGAUUUUGUUUUUAAAAAG